rnacentral:rRNA from 1 species
AACGUAGGGGGCGAGCGUUGUCCGGAAUCACUGGGCGUAAAGGGUGCGUAGGCGGCCGCUUAAGUCCUGUGUGAAAGGCCCCGGCUUAACCGGGGAAGGCCAUGGGAAACUGAGCGGCUUGAGUGCUGGAGAGGGUGGCGGAAUUCCCGGUGUAGAGGUGAAAUUCGUAGAUAUUGGGAAGAACACCAGUGGCGAAGGCGGCUCACUGGCUCGUAACUGACGCUCAGGCGCGACAGCGUGGGGAUCAAACAGG